AUACGGAGGGUGCAAGCGUUAUUCGGAAUCACUGGGCGUAAAGGACGCGUAGGCGGGUUGGCAAGUCAGAUGUGAAAUCCUACAGCUUAACUGUAGAACUGCAUUUGAAACUGCUAACCUAGAGUAUGGGAGGGGGAGAUGGAAUUAGUGGUGUAGGGGUAAAAUCCGUAGAUAUCACUAGGAAUACCGCAAGCGAAGGCGAUCUCCUGGAACAUAACUGACGCUAAGGCGUGAAAGCGUGGGGAGCAAACAGGAUUAGAUACCCUAGUAGUCC
rnacentral:rRNA from 1 species